AAGCUCCAGCUUGCUGGAGUGGAUCAGUGGCGAACGGGUGAGUAACACGUGAGCAACCUGCCCCGGACUCUGGGAUAACAGUUGGAAACAGCUGCUAAUACCGGAUACGCACCAUACAGGCAUCUGUUGUGGUGGGAAAGAUUUUUUGGUUCGGGAUGGGCUCGCGGCCUAUCAGCUUGUUGGUGAGGUAAUGGCUCACCAAGGCGUCGACGGGUAGCCGGCCUGAGAGGGUGACCGGCCACACUGGGACUGAGACACGGCCCAGACUCCUACGGGAGGCAGCAGUGGGGAAUAUUGCACAAUGGGCGGAAGCCUGAUGCAGCAACGCCGCGUGAGGGAUGACGGCCUUCGGGUUGUAAACCUCUUUUAGCAGGGAAGAAGCGAGAGUGACGGUACCUGCAGAAAAAGCGCCGGCUAACUACGUGCCAGCAGCCGCGGUAAUACGUAGGGCGCAAGCGUUAUCCGGAAUUAUUGGGCGUAAAGAGCUCGUAGGCGGUCUGUCGCGUCUGCUGUGAAAACCCGAGGCUCAACCUCGGGCCUGCAGUGGGUACGGGCAGACUAGAGUGCGGUAGGGGAGAUUGGAAUUCCUGGUGUAGCGGUGGAAUGCGCAGAUAUCAGGAGGAACACCGAUGGCGAAGGCAGAUCUCUGGGCCGUAACUGACGCUGAGGAGCGAAAGGGUGGGGAGCAAACAGGCUUAGAUACCCUGGUAGUCCACCCCGUAAACGUUGGGAACUAGUUGUGGGGACCUUUCCACGGUCUCCGUGACGCAGCUAACGCAUUAAGUUCCCCGCCUGGGGAGUACGGCCGCAAGGCUAAACUCAAAGGAAUUGACGGGGACCCGCACAAGCGGCGGAGCAUGCGGAUAAUUCGAUGCAACGCGAAGAACC
rnacentral:rRNA from 2 species